rnacentral:rRNA from 1 species
CCUACGGGCGGCAGCAGUAGGGAAUCUUCCACAAUGGACGAAAGUCUGAUGGAGCAACGCCGCGUGAGUGAAGCAGGGUUUCGGCUCGUAAAGCUCUGUUGGUAGGGAAGAAAGAUAGAGGUAGUAACUGUCCUUUAUUUGACGGUAAUAACUUAGAAAGUCACGGAUAACUACGUUCCAGCAGCAGCGGUAAUAAGUAGGUGGCAAGCGUUGUCCGGAUUUAUUGGGCGUAAAGCGAGGGCAGGCGGUUCAAUAAGUCUGAUGUGAAAGCCUUCGGCUCAACCGGCGAAUUGCAUCAGAAACGGUUGAACUUGAGUGCAGAAGAGGAGAGUGGAACUCCAUGUGUAGCGGUGGAAUGCGUAGAUAUAUGGAAGAACACCAGUGGCGAAGGCGGCUCUCUGGUCUGCAACUGACGCUGAUGCUCGAAAGCAUGGGUAGCGAACAGGAUUAGAUACCCUUGUAGUC